CCCUCGCGGAGGCGGGGCGGGGGCCUCCACGUGGGUGGGGCUGGGCGCCCCCCGAGGGCCGUGGCCGCGGGGCGCUGGUAGCUCGCCCGCCCCUCCGCCCUGUACCCCUCCCGCCCCGGGGCUUCUGCCUGGACCGCGGCCGCAGCCUCCUCUUCCCGGAGGCCUUGGAGUUCGUCCCGGUCUCGCGGUUGGGAACGUGGACAUACAGGAGCCUGCGUGCAGAAGGGCGCGCGGGAGCCUGGAGCUGCAGCACGAACCGCAGCCCUGCGUCUAGGCCGCGCCACUCUCUCCUGAUCCGGAGGAAGGACCACGGGGAACCCUGCGCGCGGACGGCGUCCCGAGAGUUGGCGCGGGCCUUGGCGCUAGAAAAUGGAUCCUGCUCCCGGAAAGACUGGCCGAGUGUUUAGCUCUUGCUUUCUGGAGAAUUAGCUCGGCAUUGUGCGUGGCCCGGGAGGGAGGGACAGGCCUUGGGGCGACCAUCCGGGCGGGGAGUGGCUUCUGGGGGCUCCCUCGCCUACCGAGGGGCCCUCGAGGUCGCCCCCGGAGCGCCGCCAGCCGCCGCUGAGUCAGAAGUGUCCCCAGUGUCUUACCUGAUAAUGGGAUUUUACACGGUCUGCUAAGGGUGUCUUCAGGAGCAGACCGUUCCAGAGGAGGAAAUGGGCCUCAGGCCGGUGGGGUAGAAACCCCUAUGGAAUGAAAAGGACGCCCAACCGACUCCCAGCCGCUUUGCAGAAGAUUGCAAAGUAAGGUGGGUUUUUGUCUUUGUGUUGUGUGUUAUCUGUUUUGUUUUUUGUUCUAUCCCCCUCCUCCCUGUAAAUUAGAACAAAAGGUCAAGCUUGCAGGCCCGAGUGGACGUUUGGAAGCCGCGAGUGGAAUGAAUCUCGUUAUAAAAACUCCGGGACCCCAGGCACACCUAGUGUCUGCCCUCGUCGCGGUUUGGGUGACUCCCCUGCCCAGAGGCGGGUUGGGCACCGAUUCCGCCGUGGAGAGAAGGGUCCCGGCUUCGGGAAAGGCUCCCUCUUUCUGGGACAAAGCGAGCCCUAACUGUGGCCACCUUCCAAAGACCCGGGCGUUUUCACUGCGCGCGCAGGCGCGGCGCUCGGCGGGUAGUCCCGCUUCCACCAAAACUCUGGCUUCGUUUCUCUCAAAAUAAAACUCAACAAGCCAUAAAGCCUCCCGACGCCGAUGGAGAAGGCGCCGCGGAUUUAUGGCCCCCCGAAUUCCCCACUCUCUAAUUAUCCCUGUUUUUAGUUGACUUAUGGGUAGUGACCAAUAAAAUCAUUUUCCAUUU